rnacentral:lncRNA from 9 species
UUAGCUCCGGAAGCUGGAGCCAGGAAGGGCCGUCCAGGGCCAGGGAAGAUCUUCGGGACAGACGUAUCGUCAAAGGGAGAGGCACCAGUGCAGAGUGACCCUGCCAGCUCCCCUUCCCAGAAUACGCCCCACCCUCUGCACCGAGGAGCCUGGAAGCUGAAGCCCCCUCUCAUCCCCAAAGCAGAGUUCAGGCUGGAAGUUCUUGUUCCCUGAAGAGGGAGCACGCGACCAGGUGACCCGUGACUACAGAAGAUUCUGGUCUGACUACCAUAUCAGAAUGGCAGGACAAAGGUCCACAUCCCUGCGCUUGUUCUGGACCCAGCAGCAAGGGUGAGAGGAGACGAGAAAAGUAAAAGAUUCAGAUCGGUUUUCCAGUACUGGCACCUGAAAGCCCCAUAGCCCUGCUGCUGCAACAGGAUCAUCGCACUGUCUGAACCUGGUGGACCCCGAAGAAGAAACGACUUUAUUUUUCCUGGCUCCACGGCCUUUGGCAACACUGGCUUGAGUCUCCUGUUCCUGGCUCUUAAAUAACAGCUGGGGCCAAUCCCAGAGCUUUGGGUCACUCUUGGGUAUAAGGAAGUCCAGUCCGGUCUAGUCCAGGGUAAAACUUGAAUCUCCAAUCCAUUUUAAUGCUCGUAUUCUCCCUGUGCCCAGAACAGACCCUCCUGCAGCUGAAGGGACUUGCAAAGGGGAUAAGAGAUGUUCUUCUCCCCACCCCCACCUUCUAUUUCUGGCCCUUCCAGAGUCUCAGGCCGGGGGGGAGAGGACCUGAAAAGACCAUGGACGCCCUCUGUGGGGCCUGGCUCCAAGUGCUAGCUCUCCUGGCCCCAUGUGGGGUUGUCGGAAUACAUGCAGGAGCCUCCUCUCUGCCACAGAUGGGCAAGCCACAGUCCCCACAGGCUCUAGCCCUUGGGGUUCCCCCCCACCCACAGCCUCCUCUGGCCCCCCCAAGGCCUGCCUUCUGGGGUGGAAUAUUGUAAAAAUCCAAAGGUGGCCCAACCACCUGCCAGGGUCCACUCGGCUCCGAGGACCCUUACACACCCUGACCGUGCCAGGCGGUGGCCCUGCAGACAGCCCCCAGGGACCCCAACACCUCUCUCCAAUGCUCUUCACCCUGGUUCCAGAGGAUGGAGGAGCAAGUUCAUUUCCAGGCAGACAUCCAGCCCGGGAAGAUGAUUUCACCUCCGCGUCUUGUCGUUUCCACGAGGGAUUCCUGGGUGCCCGCUGCCCCCACCUGGCUAAGCCCGGGGAGGAGCGAACCACAGCCUUCUUCCCCCAGGCUGAAACCUCGCAGCUAAAGGGAUCCUCCCUCCUCUUCUCUGAUCUCCUGCUUAUGCAUCCAGGCCGGGAGGACUGAGGACCUCUCUUUGUGCUUGACUGUGAAUCUGCCACGUAGCAAAUGCCAAGGUAGGAGAAAAAGUCAAUCCCUGUUGUGUAUCUUUCAAACCAGGUCUUUCCUGUACUCUCGCGGAGCAAGCGCUUUCUCUUAAUGUCUGGGCCAGAUCUCACGGACUUAGCACUACUUGUUCUCAUCUGGCUGGUUCCAGGCUUCUGAUGGUGUUCUGGUCUAGAAGCCUGGUCCCACGAUGAAAUCCACUCCUGCUCGCUCCCAGCUCCACAUCACCCACAGAUUCGAUAAUUCAGCUUUCUGGGCUGUUAUUCAAGCCUUUGAUGAAAAGAUCAAAGACAACAGGACUGAAUAGAGGACCCUUAAUUCAGGGUGACAUUUAUUCCAGCCUGUCCUUGGUGAACUGCUACUGGCUCCAGCUACUUACCACUUCCUGUUAUCUGAGCUCUAAAACUGUCUGUCUAAUCAGGGCUCACAGGUGCCUGGGCUCCAGUCUACAGCUCCCUCGUCUCCCAGGAUGUCAGUGACCUGGGCUAGGGAUUUGGACUCGCUGAAAAUAGCAAGUGCUUCCUCGCCCAGCUCUGCCAACCCCCUUCCCCCACCACUGCAUCUAGGCAUCUUCAUUCAGCUCAGCUCUGCCCAGCCACACCCCGGCCCCAGCUCCCAAGCAAGCACCGCCUCGCUCAUCCCCUUCCAGGCUCAGCCUCGGCUCCUCUCUCAGGCAACUGGUCUGCCCCUGAGGGGAGGGGCAGGAAGACCGUCACUGAAGCACCCAGAUGACUCAGAUGACCCCAAGAGUUGAGAUCUGCUGACGUCCAGGACCCUUCGGUCGGCUGGGGCUGGGGUGGGUGGAGCAAAGCAUAUUUAUUAAGCAAGAGCCAGGAGCUGGGCUAGGUGUGUUAGCGCAAUUAUCUCUGUCUCCUGGGUGAGGAGCGGUGAGGGAGGUCACAGCACUGGCCUAACGUCCCCGACCAACCAGUUCAGGGGCAGAACCAGGUUCUGAUCUAAGCCUCUGCCCUCUGUUUGCUCUCCUUCCAGGUAGUUAGGGACCCCGUCACUGUCUCCGCAGCCUCCGGAAGACAGAGGAAGCCGGAGCACAGCCCAUCCUGAGCCCCCAGGAGGGAGAAGCAGGUUGAGGGCGAGGGAAGGGGGGGCGGGGAGAAGUGCAUCCCUGACAUCAGGCUGCUGGGAAAUGAGUCCAGUGUUCCUGAGACCUGAAUGAUUUGGGAUUAAGCUUCCAGAUCUGGCACCACAGAUGCGAUAUGAAUCCGUUGCGGCCCCACCCCCAGCCCAUGGCAGGGAACAGAUGGACAGACCCCUCCCUGGGGUCUAAGUAGGGCACUGCUGAGGCUGCUGGGAGGCAGCAGGGGAGCCAAUCAGCCCUGGGGGGCAGAGCAGGGGCAGAUCCAGCUCCACCUCCCCUUCCUGGGCCCCCCACCCUCCAAGACAGUAGAAUCUGAGGGUCAGCUCUCUGCUGCCAACUGUGGGUGGUGCUGCCACACAAGGCAGAGACUCCGGACCCUGGAGCAGCACCGGUCAUUCAGGCACAAGUCAGGCCAUCCUUCCUAAGUCCCAAGUCCAUAGCCUGAGACCACUGGAAGCAACAAGGGACACAAACUUCCUCCUCGGGGCUCCAGAGCAAGGCAUGGGCAGCGUGGUGCUCAGAGCAUCAAGGUCCCGAGCAGGACCAGCCUUGUGUGGCCCUCCCGUCACCAUGAGCACAGCGGGAUGGGGCCAUGGGAGGCCAGACGGAUGCAGAAACAGAAAGAAGGCAACUGUCAGAGCUGGAGGGACCUGGGGACUCCUGAGUCCUCUUCCUGUUCAAGAAGCAAAGGCUGAGGCUCAGCAAGGAGAGGGGACAGGUGCACAGGGAACGGGUGACAGAGCCAGGGGCCCCUUCCACAUCAACGCAAACCACUGAGCUUAACUUGUAACAGCAAAACACAGGAACAGUCCAAAUAUCCACCCGCAGGCAAAGGGAUUAACCGACUGGGUGUUUCCAUGCUCAAGACUAGCGACCACUCAGCAACACGACUGGAUGAACCAAUGAUCCAUGCAAGGCGGCUAAGUCAUAAAGGACCAUGUCAAGUGACCAAAGUCAGACAAAGAGGAAGCAAUGUAGGAUUCUGUUCCUACCAAGCUCUGGAAAGAGUAAAGUAAUCUGGAGGGACAGGCAGUAGAUUGACAGCGACAGCGUCAGAAGGGGCAUUAAGAAGGGGUAUGGGAACGAUUUGGGGUCAUGGGUAUAUUCGCUGUCUUGGCUGUGCUGAUGGUUUUGCGGGCAAGUACACACACUGAGGAAGGGAGGAGGCGGACGCCCGGGAGAGCUGGCCGGGAGGGGAUGGACUUGGAGCAGAGCUGGCCUUGACAGAGCCGGCAUGGAAGGCUGGGAUGAUGCAAACGGCAACAGCCCUGCAGAGGCAGGCGUUUGAAUGAAGGCUCAGACAAAGCAGUGUUCUCAGAAGGAUCCAGAACAAUGGGAAGAGCCCAGGGCUGCCAGGGGGAUGAGGAAAGACGACCCAUGUACAUCUGCUCCAUGCACAUAUGUCUCUGGAGUCUCACAGUACCUACACUUAAGAGUAACCAUCAAAAGAAGGUUAUGGGAGAGAGGAACUAUCAAAAGAAGCAUGGGAGAGAGGAAGGAGGAGGGGAGAGAAGAGGAGCAUGGAAGAGACCCUGGAUGCAUCCACCAAGCUGGGCUCUGUGGAUAUAAGGGAGCCAGAGCAAAGGAAUGGUGCAUGUAACUCAGAGCUUCCAGGAAAUUUUCCUGGCAGCAAAGUGCAGGGACCUCCACUCUGUCCGGAUCAUGCACCUGCUCUCUGGAAGGGCUGGUGCAUCUCCUUACCAGCCUGGAUGGCGGAGUGGCAGGGAGCACACAGCAGGCCCUUCUCCAAGAGUUGGGAGGGCCUGGGAUGCCCCAGCUUCUGCUCCCAGAGCAGAGAACAAGCUACUCCCCUCGCCUCCCAGGGAGGCCAACGAGGGCCUGUGGCACAGCCAGGAAGGGCAAAGAUUUCCAAAGCUCUGUGAUGGAAUCUCUCCCUGGUUCUCCCUGUCCUCACGUUUCACAGGCACCUCCAACCCACAGCUCAUAUCUUCUGGAAGCGGCAGUAGCCCCAGCAGCCCUGCCUCCAGGGCAGGAAGGAGGAAUACAGGCCUGCAGGAGUGUGCUGGGCCCAGGAGGGGCAAGUACAACAUGUCUACUUGGCUCCUCCACCACCUAACUGCUCAGAAGACCCAAGCCCCUCCCCCAGAGCCAGCUCUGGGCAAACGAAUAGGCUCCCUGGAUGAUGGGCCCGCUGUCUGCCUGGACCAGACCGCUGUCAGACUGUCCCCAAUUCAACCAUCAAAAAUGAACAGCCCCUGCCUUCACUCCAUCCCUCUCUGGGGCGUGAAAAUGAAGCUUGUAAUCUACCAUACCCGGCACAGCACUUUACAGUCGACCCCUUCAUCUCCUUCCUGAUCCUGUGAAGCAGCUAAAAUCAUGCCCACCCUCCAGAUAAGGGUUUCACACUUCAGCUGGGCCUGUGGACCUGUCUACGGUCCCACAGCUAACGUUUAGGGGGAGGGAACUUAAAGCUUCCAAGCCAGCUUGCCAAAGGGCCAGAAGCAUGAGGACCAGACAGAUUCUCACUGGGAAGCUUGCGGCCAGCACCGGGCAGAACACAUCACUGCACAAGACCCGGUCAGAGUUAGAAGGAACCCCACAGGCAUCCCAGCCGGCUUCGUCUCACCCUUCAGGCAACUGAAGCCUGAGAAGGACCAAGGAGGCGGUCAUGGGAAAUUGUACUUUAAGCUCCUGGGAACUGAGAGACUAAGAAUCUAGGAGCGGCCCCGACCGGCUGGCCCUGGGGGUCCUUGAUGGUGGCAGAGGGUGCACAGGCAGAGUUACAAGGGGUGCAGGCUCAGCCCAUCCCCCAUUCCCAUAGCACAGGCAGACACGCUGAGCCUGUCCCCCAGAAGCCAAGGCCACGUUAAAAUUCUCCAGGACAGGGAAGAGAGCAGCCACCAGGUGCUGGCACGAUGGGAGGCAGGCGUCACCCUCCCCAUUUUGCAAAGAAGCCAAGGCUCCGAAGGUUGAACAACCUCCGCAACGGCACAAGUAGGAAGGAGCAGAGUCGGGACGAAAAAACGCAGCAUUCGUCCCACCACCCUCACUCCCCUCAGGCUGGGCUACUGGGCUGCCGGGGGACUUGCCCGCAGCUCAUCGGCUCAGCCUCCAGCCCUGAGAUGAGGUCUCUGGGGUCCUUCCGCUGGGCUUCUCCAUCUGGCAUCAUUCAGGGCUGACUCCUGGCCCCUCACCCAAGAUUGCCCUCAUCAGACAGUGCAGAGGCAGUCAGGCCUGCCAGGAGCAAUUCACCAGAUCCACAACUUGAGAAUCUCCAGGGAACCAACCUGGGAAUCUGCAUUUUAACAGGAGCCUUCCGGAAGCACAAUUUUGGAGAAAGAACGUGCGAAAGACUGGCAUCUGCUGCUUUCAGCAAAGAUCCUCCCCAGGUCUCUCCAGGUUGGAGAAAGGAAAACCUAUUUGCAGUCUCUUCUCUCAGGGCUAAAGCGAGCUGGAUGCCCCUCCCCCGCCUCCCACCACCCCCGGGGGGGGCGGGAAUCAAAAAGGAGCGCCUUCUGGGAGGCACAACUUCCGGGGGUGAAAACCCUUCCCCUUGGCGGGGAGGGGAAGAUGCCCCUUCCUCCAGGCACCUCCACGGCUCAGGUGGGGGCGGAGCCAGGAGGCGCCGAGGCCCCGCCCACGAGGUCACCUCCAGCUCCGGAUUACGUGCCCUGCCUGCCCCCUCCCGGCUAAAACCCAUCUUCUGCUGUCAAGAAAAAGGUCGUCUGCCUGGAGUCGCUGAAAAUUACACGUUAACAGCCUUACAGAUUUCCAGCAGUUUCAAAUGCUGGCUUUGGCCAAAAACUUCUUUAAAAGGCCAUCCUCCCUUCUUAUUCCAUAGCGUUUACAUUUUAUAACAUUUAAACAGAACCGCUUUCAAACACAGAUAGGCAGUACUUUCCUGACAUGUCCCCAUAAAAAGUAAAAUCUGGGAAGCGUCUGCGGUGGACGGCUGGGGAAUGCCUUCUGUGCCCAGCAGUGAUUAGCUCCAUCUGCAAAAUAGUUCCCAACGCUGCUGCCUCAAACUAGGAGCUCCUUCCUCCGAGAAGCCCUCCUGCCUCCCGUCUGGGCUCCGUGCCAUGGAUAUCUGUCCACAGAAGACGUCCUUUGUUGAAGUUGCGGUUAUGGCUCAGUGGAAACGCAUCUGACUAGGAACCAUGAGGUUGUGGGUUUGAUCCUUGGCCUCGCUCAGUGGGUCAAGGAUCCGGUGUUGCCAGGAGCUGUGGUGUAGGUCGCAGAUGCGGCUCAGAUCCAGUGUGGCUGUGGUGGCUGUGGGUCGGCCAGCAGCUAUAGCUCCAGUUAGACUCCUAGCCUGGGAGCCUCCAUAUACCCUGGGCAUAUAUCCAGACAAAACUAAAAAGACCAAAAAAAAAAAAAA